rnacentral:rRNA from 1 species
AUUGAACGCUAGCGGGAUGCUUUACACAUGCAAGUCGAACGAGUGGCGGACGGGUGAGUAAUGUCUGGGAAACUGCCUGAUGGAGGGGGAUAACUACUGGAAACGGUAGCUAAUACCGCAUACCAUCGGAUGUGCCCAGAUGGGAUUAGCUAGUAGGUGGGGUAAAGGCUCACCUAGGCGACGAUCCCUAGCUGGUCUGAGAGGAUGACCAGCCACACGGGGACUGAGACACGGCCCAGACUCCUACGGGAGGCAGCAGUGGGGAAUAUUGCACAAUGGGCGCAAGCCUGAUGCAGCCAUGCCGCGUGUAUGAAGAAGGCCCUAGGGUUGUAAAGUACUUUCAGUCGGGAGGCGUUACCGACAGAAGAAGCACCGGCUAACUCCGUGCCAGCAGCCGCGGUAAUUC